UUGAAGGAAAGUAUGUUUCAAGAAAAAAAUCUGUGCAAUUGACAUAACAUGUAACCAUAAGUUCCAAGACAUUAAGUGGUUCCUAAUUUUUUGUUAAUUAGGCACCCAAUAUUUUUAUGGACUUGAUUCUAUGUCACAAUUCUAAGCUGACCGUUUUAUCCAGGGCCGUCUCCGAGAAUGAUAAAAAAAAUUUGGGCUCCGGGCGAAACACAAAAAUUGGUAUAAUAUAAACUCAUCAAAUAUAUAUUAAGAAACCACAAUAUGACAUGCUAAUCAUGGGGUUUGAACUCAUGACCUCAAGAUUAUAACCCAAAACAGUAAUCAAUUAAUCAUAUAAUCAUCUUGUUAACAAGAUCGAAGAGUCAAUUAAUUAAAUGAAUUGAUAGUUCAAAACAGUUUAGGAAAUAAAAAAUGCAUGGGAUUAACUGAAAAUUGUUUAGGAAAUAAAAAUGUAAAGGAAGGGUUUAGAACUCAUGACCUUGGUUUUAAAAUUUAAGUAUCUUAACCAUUGAACUAGCUUAAUUUUUUGUUAGUAAAGUCAUUGAUUAAACAUUUAAGAUAACAGUGCUCAUUAGAAAAUCUUGACCCUAAAUUUUUGUUGGGCCCUAUGAACUUUUCGGGCCUUGGCGUCUGCCCGGGCUGCCCAGCCCACAAAGCCGAGCCUGGUUUUAUCUUCACUCGCUAAUUACUGUCUGAUUUUGUAUUAGAAAAAGUUAACAGAGUUUUAUAUACGCAAAAAUCACAUCAACAAAAUUAAAUACGGAUCGAAAAAAAGCUUUUUCGAAAGGUUAACUUCAUUCACAAACACCACCUCUACCCAAAAAAAAAACGGAUCGAGCUCAUCAUGAUCUAUACACAAACCUAACUAAACAAAAAGAAAAAAUAAUAUAUGUCAUUCAUCUUCUUACCGCAUGGUCAAUAUGGAAGAACAGGAACAAUAAAUUCUUCAAUGACAUGCUCAAGAGUCCUAGCAAGAUCGUGGAAGAAAUCAAGGAAGAAGCGUUCGAUUGGGAUGUAAUUAGCUUACAAACUGAUGAAAUAUCUCCUGGAGAUUAGAAAAACAUGAUGUAUUCUUAUCCUUGAUUGUACUCUUGAGACGGAUGCAACGUCAUAGUAACUUGCUAUGUGUCGUAUCUUUCGGUUAAUAAAUAAAGUUCUGUUGUUGCUGU
rnacentral:lncRNA from 1 species